rnacentral:rRNA from 1 species
GAUGAACGCUGGCGGCGUGCCUAAUACAUGCAAGUCGAGCGAAUGGAUUAAGAGCUUGCUCUUAUGAAGUUAGCGGCGGACGGGUGAGUAACACGUGGGUAACCUGCCCAUAAGACUGGGAUAACUCCGGGAAACCGGGGCUAAUACCGGAUAACAUUUUGAACCGCACGGUUCGAAAUUGAAAGGCGGCUUCGGCUGUCACUUAUGGAUGGACCCGCGUCGCAUUAGCUAGUUGGUGAGGUAACGGCUCACCAAGGCAACGAUGCGUAGCCGACCUGAGAGGGUGAUCGGCCGCACUGGGACUGAGACACGGCCCAGACUCCUACGGGAGGCAGCAGUAGGGAAUCUUCCGCAAUGGACGAAAGGCUGACGGAACAACGCCGCGUGAGUGAUGAAGGCUCUCGGGUCGUAAAACUCUGUUGUUAGGGAAGAACAAGUGCUAGUUGAAUAAGCUGGCACCUUGACGGUACCUAACCAGAAAGCCACGGCUAACUACGUGCCAGCAGCCGCCGCGG